UCUGCUCGUUAGGACAGGACGCUCUCCACGAUCAGGGCGAUCCUGUCCAAUCAGCACCACCCCCUGAACUCGGUCUUCUCACACCAGAGAAGCACUGUGAGCAACAGAUUUCUCUCACUGAGGUGCUCCACUGAGAGACU